UGAAACUCUAGUUUGCCUGUGCCUCAUAGCUUACUUGUUGCUUGCCCGCCUGUCGGUCUACCAUCCUGUUCACUCUUCAGCCUGCAUGUCACCUCCAUGGACGCCAUCUCCAUUACUCACCAUCCCGCCACCGCGCCUAAGCCUCCUGUUUUCCUGAACUCCCCUGGAUUUCAUUCGCUGUGUCCUACCUCCUUGAUGCUGUGUCAAACUCCACAGAUCAUGUCUGGAAAACAGUUAUAGGGAGAUUCUAAGGAACAGUGGGGAGCUUCACAAGCCUUGCCUUCCAG